UGCAAGAGAACAGAAAAAAGGAACAAGAGAAGAGCAAGGAAAAAGGAAAGGAUGAAAAAGAGAAGAAGAAAGGAAAGGAAGAAAAGGCCAAGAAGGGGGAAGUGGAUGCGGUGUUGCAAGUGUUGCCAUCCAAAUGUAUCCCUAUGAUCUGUGCCGGGCAUGAAGAAUACUUAAAUACAUGGAAGAACCGGUGUGAGAGCAUACACCCCAGUCAGAAUUAUGACUCCGAGACCCUCCGGGAGGAGAAGAGGAAAGAGGUGGAGCUGGAGAUCCGGAUACAGGUCACAAAGACCUCAGCGGGGGAUCUUCGGUUUGAAUUCCAUCUGGGGGCUUCUCCGCAUGUUGAAGGCUGUUAAGAACAGGGCUCCUGAGAGAGCAGGAAGAGGAUUAGGCCUGGGUGUGAACAGGUGGAUGAGCUGAUGCGUCAGGAGCUGAGGAAGCUCCGUCUGGCUGUGGACAAGGAGGAAGAAAGACCCCUGAGGGCUCCAAAGAAAACACCUGGGAAGAAAACUGGGAAAAAGAAGGAAAAAGAUCUGACCUCAGACAGGUCUGUGGAGUCUCUGUACGAAGAGCUUGUUAUUUCUGGCCUUCUAAGGAAGAGUGAGUCAGUAGCAUUGAAAGACUACAUAGGUGACUUCCUGUAUCUUGGAUCCACUCUGAGUUUGGUGAAGAAGUUGCCCAUGCCAUCCCUGUUUGACAUACGACAGAAUGUGGCUUUGUAUGCGGUCCUUCGGCUUG
rnacentral:lncRNA from 1 species